UACGGAAGGCAGCAGUGGGGAAUAUUGCACAAUGGGCGAAAGCCUGAUGCAGCUAUGCCGCGUGUAUGAAGAAGGCCUUAGGGUUGUAAAGUACUUUCAUCGGGGAGGAAAAAACAAAACUAAUAAUUUUAUUUCUUGACGUUACCCGAAAAAGAAGCACCGGCUAACUCCGUGCCAGCAGCCGCGGUAAUACGGAGGGUGCUAGCGUUAAUCAGAAUUACUGGGCGUAAAGAGCACGUAGGUGGUUUUUUUAAGUCAGAUGUGAAAUCCCUGGGCUUAACCUAGGAACUGCAUUUUGAAACUGAAAUACUAGAGUAUCGUAGAGGGAGGUAGAAUUCUAGGUGUAGCGGUGAAAUGCGUAGAUAUCUGGAGGAAUACCUGUGGCGAAAGCGGCCUCCUAAACGAAUACUGACACUGAGGUGCGAAAGCGUGGGGAGCAAACAGGGAUUAGAACC
rnacentral:rRNA from 1 species